UACGAAGGGGGCUAGCGUUGUUCGGAAUUACUGGGCGUAAAGGGCGCGUAGGCGGCCAACUAAGUCAGACGUGAAAUCCCCUCGGCUCAAACCGGGGGAACUGCGUCUGAUACUGGAUGGCUUGAAUUCGGGAGAGGGAUGCGGAAUUCCAGGUGUAGCGGUGAAAUGCGUAGAUAUCUGGAGGAACACCGGUGGCGAAGGCGGCAUCCUGGACCGAGAUUGACGCUGAUGCGCGAAAGCCAGGGGAGCAAACGGG
rnacentral:rRNA from 1 species